UGGGGGAUAUUGCACAAUGGGCGAAAGCCUGAUGCAGCGACGCCGCGUGAGGGAAGACGGCCUUCGGGUUGUAAACCUCUGUCAUUCGGGACGAAUAGAUGACGGUACCGAAGAAGGAAGCUCCGGCUAACUACGUGCCAGCAGCCGCGGUAAUACGUAGGGAGCGAGCGUUGUCCGGAAUUACUGGGUGUAAAGGGAGCGUAGGCGGGAAAGCAAGUUGGAAGUGAAAUGCAUGGGCUUAACCCAUGAGCUGCUUUCAAAACUGUUUUUCUUGAGUGAAGUAGAGGCAGGCGGAAUUCCUAGUGUAGCGGUGAAAUGCGUAGAUAUUAGGAGGAACACCAGUGGCGAAGGCGGCCUGCUGGGCUUUAACUGACGCUGAGGCUCGAAAGCGUGGGUAGCAAACA
rnacentral:rRNA from 1 species